rnacentral:rRNA from 1 species
CCUACGGGGGGCUGCAGUGGGGAAUAUUGCACAAUGGGGGAAACCCUGAUGCAGCAACGCCGCGUGAGUGAUGACGGUCUUCGGAUUGUAAAGCUCUGUCUUCAGGGACGAUAAUGACGGUACCUGAGGAGGAAGCCACGGCUAACUACGUGCCAGCAGCCGCGGUAAUACGUAGGUGGCAAGCGUUGCCCGGAUUUACUGGGCGUAAAGGGAGCGUAGGUGGAUAUUUAAGUGGGAUGUGAAAUACUCGGGCUUAACCUGGGUGCUGCAUUCCAAACUG